GCGAGAUUCCGCAAAGCCUGGUCUCUGCUCCACUCUGUUGGUGAAGUUCACCAUAAACUUCCUUCACCGUGGAAUGAGGUUUAGUCCGCUAGGGGCAGACCUUGAGUUGGAGCCUAUUGGCCUACCGAAAUGUGUUCUAUGACUAAAAAGAAAGUAAAGGUGAUAAAUGUAUUAUAUCUUAGUAGAAAUGGCAAUACUAACGAGGUGUCUAUUCUCCAUGUCAGUUUAUCAGCACUUCUCUCCUGUCUGCCAGCGAGGAGGAGGAGGAGGUCUCUGUUGUUUCUUCAUUUACGUCACCCCUCUUUCAAUCCCUUCCUCCUUCCGUCCUGCUCUACAUACAACGUCAACGGGGGACACCACGUUCAAACUGGUUUCUCAUAUUAACACCCACCACAAUCACUUCGCCACCAUAAACCUCUUUUGGAACCAGGUGAGUUGAAUAUCUGUUAAUUGGUGACAUAAAGGAAGGAAACAACAGAGCGAAUAGAGUAGACCGACCGGAGAGGCGACAGUGUUUCUAGUCGAGCGUCAUUUAUCUCUUUCCUUUUCCCUCGGUUUGGAAAUGGCUCUCAGUGUAUCGCCAGUGUGUAAUGUGCUUGUUUACGCGGUUGUUUCUUCAUGGCGGUUAACAUCGGCUUGUAAACAAAAAGCCCGUCUACGUCAGCCACUAUGUAGCCAAAAUGUCGUCUUUUAUUUGACUUCCACAUUCCAUGUCCCAUGCCACAAACCGAUGGCGUCGUGAGGGGGGAUGGAGGGAGUGUGAAAGAGACCCAUAAACGAGUAGCGAGGCCACACUAGGUAUCCCCAUGUCAGAGCUGAGCCCUCCAUGCACGAACCUAUCUUUAGUAGGCCCGUCCAGAACCUGUCUUUCUUCAACUUAGUUUUCCUGUCAAGUUAUCGGCCCAUUUAAAGAUACAGCGCGUGUUCAGAGGCUAAUAAUGACCAACCAAUUGAAACGAGUCCCGAUGUUUUUUUUUGUGCUGGUGGAUACAUUUGGUACGACCAUGGAGGAAUGGUUAGGCUACUUUGAAACGGAUAAUGUAGGUCUGCCAGGUCUGAGUUGGUGAGGAUACGUUGUUGCAGACACUUCAUUGCAUCAGCAUGCAAUAGACUGGAGGCUGAUGCUUCUUGUUCCCAAUGAAUGGAUUUCUGACCCAAUUUCUAGUCUUUUGUGAAGCAUCAGCAUUAGCCUCAACUACAGUUAUAAUCUAGUCCAGGGGAACACAGAUCUGGCCCUACGAGGUCUGGACUACUGCUGCUUUUCUGUUCUACCUGAUAAUGAAUUGCACCCACAAUACAGUCAGGGGCAGAUCUUUAGGCAACACAGUGAUAUGGAUUGUUGUACUGCAUUACAGGUACGCCCAAUGUAAUAGAUCAUUAAUAGGAGUCAGAUCUUGGUGAAUAAACACUGUCGCAGGUAGUGCACUGCAGACCAGGUGCUACUGAACAUCUGGUUUAUGAGUUGAUAGUCUGGUACUGUAGAUUAUAGUAAUGUCAUGGAGGUGGUACAGUAGAUUAUAGUAAUGUCAUGGAGGUGGUACAGUAGAUUAUAGUAAUGUCAUGGAGGUGGUACUGUAGAUUAUAGUAAUGUCAUGGAGGUGGUAUAGUAGAUUAUAGUAAUGUCAUGGAGGUGGUACAGUAGAUUAUAGUAAUGUCAUGGAGGUGGUACAGUAGAUUACAGUAAUGUCAUGGAGGUGGUACAGUAGAUUAUAGUAAUGUCAUGGAGGUGGUACAGUAGAUUAUAGUAAUGUCAUGGAGGUGGUACAGUAGAUUAUAGUAAUGUCAUGGAGGUGGUACAGUAGAUUAUAGUAAUGUCAUGGAGGUGGUACAGUAGAUUAUAGUAAUGUCAUGGAGGUGGUACUGUAGAUUAUAGUAAUGUCAUGGAGGUGGUACAGUAGAUUAUAGUAAUGUCAUGGAGGUGGUACUGUAGAUUAUAGUAAUGUCAUGGAGGUGGUACUGUAGAUUAUAGUAAUGUCAUGGAGGUGGUACAGUAGAUUAUAGUAAUGUCAUGGAGGUGGUACAGUAGAUUAUAGUAAUGUCAUGGAGGUGGUACAGUAGAUUAUAGUAAUGUCAUGGAGGUGGUACAGUAGAUUAUAGUAAUGUCAUGGAGGUGGUACAGUAGAUUAUAGUAAUGUCAUGGAGGUGGUACUGUAGAUUAUAGUAAUGUCAUGGAGGUGGUAUAGUAGAUUAUAGUAAUGUCAUGGAGGUGGUACAGUAGAUUAUAGUAAUGUCAUGGAGGUGGUACAGUAGAUUAUAGUAAUGUCAUGGAGGUGGUACAGUAGAUUAUAGUAAUGUCAUGGAGGUGGUACAGUAGAUUACAGUAAUGUCAUGGAGGUGGUACAGUAGAUUAUAGUAAUGUUAUGGAGGUGGUAUAGCAGAUUAUAGUAAUGUCAUGGAGGUGGUACUGUAUAUUAUAGUAAUGUCAUGGAGGUGGUACAGUAGAUUAUAGUAAUGUCAUGGAGGUGGUACUGUAGAUUAUAGUAAUGUCAUGGAGGUGGUACUGUAGAUUAUAGUAAUGUCAUGGAGGUGGUACAGUAGAUUAUAGUAAUGUCAUGGAGGUGGUACUGUAGAUUAUAGUAAUGUCAUGGAGGUGGUACAGUAGAUUAUAGUAAUGUCAUGGAGGUGGUACAGUAGAUUAUAGUAAUGUCAUGGAGGUGGUACAGUAGAUUAUAGUAAUAGUAAUGUCAUGGAGGUGGUACUGUAUAUUAUAGUAAUGUCAUGGAGGUGGUAUAGUAGAUUAUAGUAAUGUCAUGGAGGUGGUACUGUAGAUUAUAGUAAUGUCAUGGAGGUGGUACAGUAGAUUAUAGUAAUGUCAUGGAGGUGGUACAGUAGAUUAUAGUAAUGUCAUGGAGGUGGUACAGUAGAUUAUAGUAAUGUCAUGGAGGUGGUACUGUAGAUUAUAGUAAUGUCAUGGAGGUGGUACAGUAGAUUAUAGUAAUGUCAUGGAGGUGGUACAGUAGAUUAUAGUAAUGUCAUGGAGGUGGUACAGUAGAUUAUAGUAAUGUCAUGGAGGUGGUACAGUAGAUUAUAGUAAUGUCAUGGAGGUGGUACAGUAGAUUAUAGUAAUGUCAUGGAGGUGGUACAGUAGAUUAUAGUAAUGUCAUGGAGGUGGUACAGUAGAUUAUAGUAAUGUCAUGGAGGUGGUACAGUAGAUUAUAGUAAUGUCAUGGAGGUGGUACAGUAGAUUAUAGUAAUGUCAUGGAGGUGGUACUGUAGAUUAUAGUAAUAGUAAUGUCAUGGAGGUGGUACAGUAGAUUAUAGUAAUGUCAUGGAGGUGGUACUGUAGAUUAUAGUAAUGUCAUGGAGGUGGUACAGUAGAUUAUAGUAAUGUCAUGGAGGUGGUACAGUAGAUUAUAGUAAUGUCAUGGAGGUGGUACUGUAGAUUAUAGUAAUGUCAUGGAGGUGGUACUGUAGAUUAUAGUAAUGUCAUGGAGGUGGUACUGUAGAUUAUAGUAAUGUCAUGGAGGUGGUACUGUAGAUUAUAGUAAUGUCAUGGAGGUGGUAUAGUAGAUUAUAGUAAUGUCAUGGAGGUGGUACUGUAGAUUAUAGUAAUGUCAUGGAGGUGGUACUGUAGAUUAUAGUAAUGUCAUGGAGGUGGUACUGUAGAUUAUAGUAAUGUCAUGGAGAUGGUACAGUAGAUUAUAGUAAUGUCAUGGAGGUGGUACAGUAGAUUAUAGUAAUGUCAUGGAGGUGGUACAGUAGAUUAUAGUAAUGUCAUGGAGGUGGUACAGUAGAUUAUAGUAAUGUCAUGGAGGUGGUACAGUAGAUUAUAGUAAUGUCAUGGAGGUGGUACAGUAGAUUAUAGUAAUGUCAUGGAGGUGGUACAGUAGAUUAUAGUAAUGUCAUGGAGGUGGUACUGUAGAUUAUAGUAAUGUCAUGGAGGUGGUACUGUAGAUUAUAGUAAUGUCAUGGAGGUGGUACUGUAGAUUAUAGUAAUGUCAUGGAGGUGGUACAGUAGAUUAUAGUAAUGUCAUGGAGGUGGUACUGUAGAUUAUAGUAAUGUCAUGGAGGUGGUACUGUAGAUUAUAGUAAUGUCAUGGAGGUGGUAUAGUAGAUUAUAGUAAUGUCAUGGAGGUGGUACAGUAGAUUAUAGUAAUGUCAUGGAGGUGGUACUGUAGAUUAUAGUAAUGUCAUGGAGGUGGUACAGUAGAUUAUAGUAAUGUCAUGGAGGUGGUACAGUAGAUUAUAGUAAUGUCAUGGAGGUGGUACAGUAGAUUAUAGUAAUGUCAUGGAGGUGGUACAGUAGAUUAUAGUAAUGUCAUGGAGGUGGUACAGUAGAUUAUAGUAAUGUCAUGGAGGUGGUACUGUAGAUUAUAGUAAUGUCAUGGAGGUGGUACAGUAGAUUAUAGUAAUAGUAAUGUCAUGGAGGUGGUACAGUAGAUUAUAGUAAUGUCAUGGAGGUGGUACAGUAGAUUAUAGUAAUGUCAUGGAGGUGGUACUGUAGAUUAUAGUAAUGUCAUGGAGGUGGUACUGUAGAUUAUAGUAAUGUCAUGGAGGUGGUACUGUAGAUUAUAGUAAUAGUAAUGUCAUGGAGGUGGUACAGUAGAUUAUAGUAAUGUCAUGGAGGUGGUACAGUAGAUUAUAGUAAUGUCAUGGAGGUGGUACAGUAGAUUAUAGUAAUGUCAUGGAGGUGGUACUGUAGAUUAUAGUAAUGUCAUGGAGAUGGUACAGUAGAUUAUAGUAAUGUCA